UACGUAGGGGGCAAGCGUUAUUCGGAAUUAUUGGGCGUAAAGGGCGCGUAGGCGGCCUGGCAAGUGGAAGGUGAAAUCCCUCGGCUUAACCGAGGAACUGCCCUCCAAACUGCUUGGCUUGAGACCGGGAGAGGUGAGUGGAAUUCCCAGUGUAGCGGUGAAAUGCGUAGAUAUUGGGAGGAACACCAGUGGCGAAGGCGGCUCACUGGACCGGUACUGACGCUGAGGCGCGAAAGCGUGGGGAGCAAACGGG
rnacentral:rRNA from 1 species